AUAAGCUGUCGCUCCGAAGCGCUCGCGGAAAGAUGUUCGGUCAGUUGUCGAGCGCGGGUCCAGCGCCCGCCAGCGGUCUCCGCGGCGUCCUCGGCGGGGAGGGGACAGCCGGCUCUGCCCCGCGCGUCAGAAGCAGAUGCAAAGGACCUGAUUGACAAGCAGCUGGACUGUCACAAGCCUGUGGAUACAAAGUAGGUGGACAUUUCUGGAGAAAUAGAAACGAAUUCCUGCAAAUCUAAAAGCUUGCUGUUGCUAGUAAGUAAAAUCCUAAGUAUUCCAUGCUCAGACACUUCUAUUGAGAGGAGAUUUACCUUAAUGUCAUCACAUUGGACUGAUCCAAGGAAUCAGUGUAAUGUGGGCGUGAGAGCAGAGCUGCAAGUCACAGUGAAUUUGACCUUUGACCGUAUCCAGUUUUACCACUACAUCAAAGAGAAGAAGGAUGUCCUAAAGGCUGCAAGCAGUUCAGAAAAGUGUUAUUGCAAAAGAAGACAGAAAGAAGGAAAAUAUCCUACUGUAUCAUGGGGCAGAAAGAAAUAUGUCAUUUUUUAAAGUAAAGAUAGGAAAUAUCUGUUUAAUCUUAUUCGUAUUUUCCUUUUAAAGUCUUACAUUAUGUAUAUUAUUUUGAUUUACGUAUUUGUAUUUAAAAUAUCCAUAGCAUAUGAGUACAUGUAUUAAGAUAUUUGUUCAAAAUUUCUUUUACUGAUGAGCAGAGAGAGGCCUAAAUGGUAAGUAAUCAUGUGGGAUCUGAAGAGAAGAAUCGAGGACCUGAAACAGGCUUUGUUUGUUGGUUUGUUUGCUUAAAACUCAGUAAGUCCCUUGUGACUUUGGUUUUUAUGAAUCAAUCUUCCAAAGCCAGGGUGCUCCUGGAAGAAUGGAUACAAACUGAGUUUCUGAACAUUUGAAAAUGAGGACCAGGCUCAGGACCACAGAGCACUCACUGAGGCGCAGACGUCCUUGGAGGUCCUGCCUGGGCUCUCAGCCUUGCCUUCCCUUUAUCCAAGUCCACCAAAUACAACUUAGGAAACCCUGCAUCACUAGAGACUGGGAGUUCUGCAAAUCCAAGGAAGGCUGAGGAUAGAAAUCAGAAGAUCUGAGAACUUGGAUGGGAAAAAAGUUUCUGUAUUCACCAACGUCGAAGUAAAAUUUAGCAUUUCUUUCCAUUAGGAAAAUUGGCAGCAAACCACAGCAGUACUAGAACCUGUGACUGUCAUCCCCAGGAAUCACAGAUAUUCACGUUACAGACACCUCAGAGUAUUGUUUAUGUGCACAACUACUUGGAAAUUAUGGUAAUUAUUAAAACCCACUUCUAGAUCUCAUAAUUUAAUAAUGAAGCACAUCUUAUAUCACAGAUUUAAACGUUUAAUACUUUGAUAACUUUAUUUCAAUAAAAUUGGCUUCCUUGUCAAUCCUA